UACGGGGGGGGCAAGCGUUGUUCGGAAUUACUGGGCGUAAAGCGUGCGCAGGCGGUUCGUUGUGUCGGUGGUGAAAUCCCCGGGCUUAACCUGGGAAUGGCCAUGGAAACUGGCGAACUGGAGUGCGGCAGAGGGGGGUGGAAUUCCGCGUGUAGCAGUGAAAUGCGUAGAGAUCGGGAGGAACACCAGAGGCGAAGGCGGCGACCUGGACAAGUACUGACACUCAACUGCGAAAGCGUGGGGAGCAAACAGG
rnacentral:rRNA from 1 species